rnacentral:rRNA from 1 species
UACAGAGGGUCCGAGCGUUGUCCGGAAUCACUGGGCGUAAAGGGCGCGUAGGUGGUGGCUUAAGCGUGCGGUGAAAGCUCGGAGCUCAACUCCGAGUCGGCCGUGCGAACUGGGCUCACUGGAGCAUAGUAGAGGCAGGUGGAAUUCCGGGUGUAGCGGUGGAAUGCGUAGAGAUCCGGAAGAACACCGGUGGCGAAGGCGGGUCUCUGGGCCGAUACUGACGCUGAGGAGCGAAAGCGUGGGGAGCGAACAGG